rnacentral:rRNA from 1 species
GUGUCAGCAGCCGCGGUAAUACGGAAGAUGCGAGCGUUAUCCGGAUUUAUUGGGUUUAAAGGGAGCGUAGGCGGGCUGUUAAGUCAGCGGUCAAAUGUCAGGGCCCAACCUUGGCAUGCCGUUGAAACUGGCGGUCUUGAGUUCACACAAGGAAGGUGGAAUUCGUUGUGUAGCGGUGAAAUGCUUAGAUAUGACGAAGAACUCCGAUUGCGAAGGCAGCCUUCUGGGGUGUUACUGACGCUGAGGCUCGAAAGCGCGGGUAUCAAACAGGAUUAGAUACCCUGGUAGUCCGCGCUGUAAACGAUGAAUGCUGGACAUCGGCGAUAUACGGUCGGUGUCUGAGGGAAACCAUUAAGCAUUCCACCUGGGGAGUACGCCGGCAACGGUGAA